rnacentral:rRNA from 1 species
UACAGAGGUCUCAAGCGUUGUUCGGAUUCAUUGGGCGUAAAGGGUGUGUAGGUGGCGCUGUAAGUCGGGUGUGAAAUUUCGGAGCUUAACUCCGAAGCUGCAUUCGAUACUGCGGUGCUUGAGGACUGGAGAGGAGACUGGAAUUCAUGGUGUAGCAGUGAAAUGCGUAGAGAUCAUGAGGAAGACCAGUGGCGAAGGCGGGUCUCUGGACAGUUCCUGACACUGAGACACGAAGGCCAGGGGAGCAAACGGG